rnacentral:rRNA from 1 species
GACGAACGCUGGCGGCGUGCUUAACACAUGCAAGUCGAACGGAGAGGCCCUGCUUUUGUGGGGUGCUCGAGUGGCGAACGGGUGAGUAACACGUGAGUAACCUGCCCUUGACUUUGGGAUAACUUCAGGAAACUGGGGCUAAUACCGGAUAGGAGCUCCUGCUGCAUGGUGGGGGUUGGAAAGUUUCGGCGGUUGGGGAUGGACUCGCGGCUUAUCAGCUUGUUGGUGGGGUAGUGGCUUACCAAGGCUUUGACGGGUAGCCGGCCUGAGAGGGUGACCGGCCACAUUGGGACUGAGAUACGGCCCAGACUCCUACGGGAGGCAGCAGUGGGGAAUAUUGCACAAUGGGCGGAGGCCUGAUGCAGCAACGCCGCGUGCGGGAUGACGGCCUUCGGGUUGUAAACCGCUUUCGCCUGUGACGAAGCGUGAGUGACGGUAAUGGGUAAAGAAGCACCGGCUAACUACGUG